rnacentral:rRNA from 1 species
AACGAACGCUGGCGGCAGGCCUAACACAUGCAAGUCGAGCGCCCCGCAAGGGGAGCGGCAGACGGGUGAGUAACGCGUGGGAAUCUACCCAUCCCUACGGAAUAGCUCCGGGAAACUGGAAUUAAUACCGUAUACGCCCUACGGGGGAAAGAUUUAUCGGGGAUGGAUGAGCCCGCGUUGGAUUAGCUAGUUGGUGGGGUAAAGGCCCACCAAGGCGACGAUCCAUAGCUGGUCUGAGAGGAUGUUCAGCCACAUUGGUACUGAGACACGGCCCAAACUCCUACGGGAGGCAGCAGUGGGGAAUAUUGGACAAUGGGGGCAACCCUGAUCCAGCCAUGCCGCGUGAGUGAUGAAGGCCUUAGGGUUGUAAAGCUCUUUCACCGGGGAAGAUAAUGACGGUACCCGGAGAAGAAGCCCCGGCUAACUUCGUGCCAGCCGCCGCCGUAACAC